AUAUUUUGACAAACGCUGCAUCUUUACUAAGAUGUAGAGGAAAGUCCAUGCUCGCACUACCUGAAAUGGUAGUAGUGUUCGUGCAUAGGGAAAAAAUAACUUAUGGUAGCUUUAGCUAACGGCGCCAACAUAACCUAAGUUUUUUUAAUAUGGUUAUGGGCAUAAAGUGCCACAGUGACGAUAUAGUUUAGAAAUGAACUAGUGGAACGGGUAAACCCCACGAGCGAGAAACCCAAAUUUUGGUAGGGGAACCUAAUAAAGGGGAAUAACAACUCUUUAUGGGAUUGAGAAAUCAAUAGAUAGAUGUUUGUCGCCUAGAAAUAGGAACAGAACAUGGCUUAUAAAA
rnacentral:RNase_P_RNA from 1 species